CCCGCACAAGCGGUGGAGCAUGUGGUUUAAUUCGACGCAACGCGAAGAACUUACCAGGGCUCGACAUCCCCUGACCGCGUAUGAAAGUACGUUUUCACCCUCGGGUGACAGGGAGACAGGUGGUGCAUGGUUGUCGUCAGCUCGUGUCGUGAGAUGUUGGGUUAAGUCCCGCAACGAGCGCAACCCUCGACCUUAGUUGCCAGCAUUCAGUUGGGCACUCUAAGGUGACUGCCGGCUAAAAGUCGGAGGAAGUGGGGAUGACGUCAAAUCAUCAUGCCCCUUAUGACCUGGGCUACACACGUGCUACAAUGGGCGGUACAAAGGGUCGCGAACCCGCGAGGGGGAGCCAAUCCCAAAAAGCCGCUCUCAGUUCGGAUUGCAGGCUGCAACUCGCCUGCAUGAAGCCGGAAUCGCUAGUAAUCGCGGAUCAGCAUGCCGCGGUGAAUACGUUCCCGGGCCUU
rnacentral:rRNA from 1 species